UAUUUUAUCAUGGUAUUAAAUCAUGAAAGGAAGCGGUCUUCUGAAAACAUGAUUACAGCUCUUUUUGCAUUUUUAAUAUGCGAGGCUG